rnacentral:rRNA from 1 species
UACGAAGGGGGCUAGCGUUGCUCGGAAUCACUGGGCGUAAAGCGCACGUAGGCGGAUUGUUAAGUCAGGGGUGAAAUCCUGGAGCUCAACUCCAGAACUGCCUUUGAUACUGGCGAUCUCGAGUCCGGGAGAGGUGAGUGGAACUGCGAGUGUAGAGGUGAAAUUCGUAGAUAUUCGCAAGAACACCAGUGGCGAAGGCGGACUCACUGGCCCGGUACUGGACGCUGGCGGUGACGAAAGCGGUGGGG